GUCCAUGCUGUAAACGAUGAGAACUAGAUGUUAGGUGGCAUGACCACUUAGUAUCGAAGCUAACGCGAUAAGUUCUCCGCCUGGGGAGUACGGCCGCAAGGUUAAACUCAAAGAAAUUGACGGGGGCCCGCACAAGCGGUGGAGCAUGUGGUUUAAUUCGAUGCAACGCGAAGAACCUUACCUACCUUUGAAUCCACAGAACCUAGCAGAGAUGUUGGGGUGCCUUCGGGAACUGUGAGACAGGUGCUGCAUGGCUGUCGU
rnacentral:rRNA from 1 species